ensembl:misc_RNA
AUGGCAGCUCCAGAGUCUGAAAUCCUCUCCUUAUCCACAGAAGAAAAGAGUCUAGGCAGCAGCAGUACAAGCUUCCCUACAGUCUGUCCCCAUGUGCUGCCAGCAUGCCCUGGAGGAACCACCUUCUAGGGGUGAAUAGGUAAUUCAGCCUCCAUACCCAUUCAGUCAUCUAUCUUCC